rnacentral:rRNA from 1 species
AGCGCCGAUGGUAGUUGGGGCUUUGCCCCUGCGAGAGUAGGACGCCGCCAGGC